AUUAAUGGAAAUCACACAUAGAUGAUGCAGUACAAGUUUAGUACUUGUAAUGUUUAGUACACAUAAAGCUUUGUACUUGAGUAAUAAUUGUAGUACAAAAAAGUUUUAGCUAUAAAAAUUGUAUGAUCUUUAAGUUCACAAAGGAAAAAAAAGAAAAAAGAAAAAAGAAAAAAAUAUGUGUAUGACAUCCUGCGUUCUUUUAAUACACUAUCUAUCUUCUUCUUCUUCUUCUUCUUCAGCAUUUCAUUUUCUAUAUAUCUUCAGCAGCCGCUUCUCCUUGUAUCCAAAUAUCAUAUAUUUCCUUUAUUUUUGGUAAACAAUAUGGCUUUUGAAGUCCACUACAACUUGGAUUGGAUAUUAAAAAUUCUUAAUCCAUAAUCUAUAUAUAUAUAUGUACAUAUAUAUUGACAGCAAUUGAUGAAAGCUCCACCGACGGCGAAUCUCUGUGAACGGAAAGCGGAAAUUCCGGCCAAUCUAGAUUUAUGUCACAGUUUAUAACAUUCCUACACUAUGUCUAAACAAACUAAACAUACAAGCCACUCUCUCAUAGCAUUUAAAACUUACCAAAACCAAAACUAUAUUUAUAUAUAGUUGUUUUUUUGGUAAGCACACUUAUAUUUUUCUCAAUGCCAUGAGAGAAUGGUUUGUUUGAUUGGUUGGUUUAUAUGGGACUACAGAUUGGAAGGUUAGGUUGUAGUUUUUUGAGGCAGGAUAUUAAUUUCUAAGCCAUGGUCUAAACCAGGACGAAUUUGAAGGGGGUUAAACGUGCUCUAAUGAGUUAUUUAAUAUCUUUUUGCAAUCUACUUAAUGAAAAAUAUUUGUUAUUACUGGUUUGAUUAA